GCGCUGCCCUUGAUCUCCCAUUGUGCCUGCUUGUAUUUCUGGCAUUAGUUCAACAAUGGCACACGUGCUCAAACUUAACUAGGGCAGCCUGGCUAUCACAGGCGGUCCUUUUAACCACUAGUUACACGU